ACAGAAAGUAGCUUGCUACUUUGCUGACGAGCGGCGGACGGGUGAGUAAUGCUUGGGAACAUGCCUUGAGGUGGGGGACAACAGUUGGAAACGACUGCUAAUACCGCAUAAUGUCUACGGACCAAAGGGGGCUUCGGCUCUCGCCUUUAGAUUGGCCCAAGUGGGAUUAGCUAGUUGGUGAGGUAAUGGCUCACCAAGGCAACGAUCCCUAGCUGGUUUGAGAGGAUGAUCAGCCACACUGGAACUGAGACACGGUCCAGACUCCUACGGGAGGCAGCAGUGGGGAAUAUUGCACAAUGGGCGAAAGCCUGAUGCAGCCAUGCCGCGUGUGUGAAGAAGGCCUUCGGGUUGUAAAGCACUUUCAGUCAGGAGGAAAGGGUGUGAGUUAAUACCUCAUAUCUGUGACGUUACUGACAGAAGAAGCACCGGCUAACUCCGUGCCAGCAGCCGCGGUAAUACGGAGGGUGCGAGCGUUAAUCGGAAUUACUGGGCGUAAAGCGUACGCAGGCGGUUUGUUAAGCGAGAUGUGAAAGCCCCGGGCUCAACCUGGGAACUGCAUUUCGAACUGGCAAACUAGAGUGUGAUAGAGGGUGGUAGAAUUUCAGGUGUAGCGGUGAAAUGCGUAGAGAUCUGAAGGAAUACCGAUGGCGAAGGCAGCCACCUGGGUCAACACUGACGCUCAUGUACGAAAGCGUGGGGAG
rnacentral:rRNA from 1 species